AGAGUUUGAUCAUGGCUCAGAUUGAACGCUGGCGGCAGGCCUAACACAUGCAAGUCGAGCGGAUGAAAGGAGCUUGCUCCUUGAUUCAGCGGCGGACGGGUGAGUAAUGCCUAGGAAUCUGCCUGGUAGUGGGGGACAACGUUUCGAAAGGAACGCUAAUACCGCAUACGUCCUACGGGAGAAAGCAGGGGACCUUCGGGCCUUGCGCUAUCAGAUGAGCCUAAGUCGGAUUAGCUAGUUGGUGAGGUAAUGGCUCACCAAGGCGACGAUCCGUAACUGGUCUG
rnacentral:rRNA from 1 species